rnacentral:miRNA from 1 species
UGUUGUGUCCCUGAUGAACUAG